rnacentral:rRNA from 1 species
GACUCACGCGGGAAUCUUACCGGGUCCGGACACACUGAGGAUUGACAGGUUUCGAGAGUUUUUUUGGAGUUCGCUCCAGAAUGCUCUCUUAAAUAUGCUAGUCCUUUCAUGAUUAUGUGAUAGGUGGUGCAUGGCCGUUCUUAGUUCGUGGAGUGAUCUGUCUGCUUAAUUGCGUUUCACUAAAGGCGUCAUUAUAUUUUUGUGCUUGUGUUUGACCCCUCUUUCUUCGGAUUGAGCGCGUGUCUUUCACACACAAUUACUUUGACGUCUGAAAGCAACGAACGUGACCGUAACCUCUUGUUGCCUUCUCUUCUCUUCGGAGAAUGCUAGUUUUUUUCUUCGGAUAAAUUCUAGUAUAUGGAGGCUUUUACUCAAACUAGAGGGACCGCUGUUACUUUCUUUAAACCAGAGGAAGGUUGCGGCAAUAACAG